rnacentral:misc_RNA from 1 species
UGAAAAAAGUCAAAAGUUAUGUAUAUAUAUAAUUUAAAACGAUUAAUGCGUCUAUACUCAUUCCGCAAAUGUCGAAUAAUCCAAAAAAGUAGAAAUUGAAUUUUCUUCCUCUUUCACAUUUGCCUGAAACAAGGCAAAUGCAAAGAACCAAUAAAUUCUUCGAGAAACCAAAUCUCCACCUAACCCAGUCAACAGCAUUUACGAACUCAUUCUGCACCACAGACCAAACAGAAACAUUAAAUAAUAAAAAUAUGUAAAAUCUUCUCCCAGGACUAUUAUUAGCGGCCAUUUUGGACCUUUGGUGGUUGUCCUCAAACUUCCUUGAUGAACAAACAAAGACUCUGCCGCUACCACAUCAUCUCGGAUGAAAUAUUCAAAUUUCACUGCCUAAAAUCACCCUUUCUUUCCUUGCAUAAUAAAUACUACCUGCAUCCUUUACCUGCAAGAUUUAUCAAAACAAAAAAUUCUUCAUCACCCAACUGUAUUUCCCAUUUCUUCCAGUCUUUUGGUUCCACGUAAUUAUAAGUCCUAAUCCAACAUUGGAAAGGCAUGUGCAUGUCUUUAACAUGAAUCUUAUUUUCUUAAUGAAACAGAGUGUCGUGGAUCAAUCAUGAAAACACCAUAUUCUAGAAAAAUACAUGCAUUUGUGUUCCUAUAUGCUGUUGCAUUAAUUCGGAAAUGACAGUCACAAUAUAGGAGAAAACACUUGCCCUAUUAUAGUUAACCAUAUAAUUUUAAUUAACCAAUAUAGUUAACCAAGGAACAAUGUAAUUAACCAGUCAACAACCAUAGACUAUCUGCUCGGCCUUCCCCUAUUAAAAUUGAUUCUAACAAGCCCACCUGUGGAAUCUAUCCUCAAAAGUCCAACACUCAGCAUCCUGAAAACUUGAUCUCCAUCAAGAAAGAACAGAAACAGAAUUGUCUUUGCAAAGAUACAGCCCUUCUCCAUUGCCCGUGAUUGCACAAUAACCUUGAGCCUUUGCAAAGGCCCUUUUGGAAAUCAACAUCCCUAUGGAUAUAACCUCAAGACCCACAUUGUCUUCUCAAACAUGCUCAAACUACACUUUCCCAAAUAACCAAGUGUUCAACUCUUGCACUGACCUCCUGUUCUGUCGCUGCAAGCUCAACUCCGCUGGACCUACAUUGCGUCCGACAGAAGCAUUCACAUAGCAAACAAAGCCAACCAAGCCCCCUCAAGAUGGAUUUUAUGGGCAAUCAACCCAACUGGAGCAGGCAUGGUAGGAUCACAGGCACUUGUCGCUUUCAAAAUUCUAGGGGCAGUAUGACUGCUUAUCCAACUCCAGUAACCAGUUUGAUCCCAUCAAUGCAACCUGGUACUCUCAGCUUUAAGGUUUCCAACAUCUCUGCAACCUAUGAUAACAAUGAGAUGACCAUCUUUGCUAUUGUGGGUCCACUAGAAAAUGGAACUACUGUCAAUCAUGUCUGGCAGGCUGGCAAUUCAGUUUCAAAUGGCAUCCCUCAGGCUCAUGCACUUUCAGGACCAAAUAUUCAAUCAAUGGGAAGAAUAAAUUUUCUUGCAUGAUAGAAGCAGACAGUGGAGGAAGAAUUUCAGCAUGUCCACGCGCAUGCUAAACCCCUGUCCAAUUAGUUCAAGUAUAUCCACAAAUAUUCAACAACUUCAGUCAGUUUUUCUGUAAUCAUCCUUAUUAUGAGUGAAUGUUCUUAUUGUCCUUGUAAGCAAUAUAAUAGCUUCUGUUCUGAGGAUUUGUUUAGUUCUCAGAAUGAAUGGCAUAGGAAUUGAAUACCCAUUCAAUAGCUAUUCAUCACUUGUGUGAGAAACUUGAAAAUUUUUAAAAAUAUCCACUUUAUGUAAUAAUUAUUAUACAUUUUAAAUUUUAAUGAAAAGCUGAGAUAGUAGAAUUACUAUUCCACGUUUAAAUUUAAAUCAAAUCAGCUAUUAUAUUUCCAUCCUAUUCAAAGCUAUUUCGUAAACCAAAUCAAACUUGUGUGUCUAGAAAUCUGAAGGAUCUUCCGCAUACGAAGAACACAGCCUCAAACAUUUCAACCAAGUAGUUUGAUCUUAAGAGAAAAACAUGGUGAAAUAUAAUAAGGAAAUGUCAAAUUAGCAAUGUGAUUUCAACAUGGUUGAAAUUAUUAUCCUUGCAAUAACUCAAAUGGAAAAGAAAAUUGAGAGAGAAAGAUCAGAAGUAAAGUAAAAAACAAUCUCAGAACUUCUCAAGAGAACAGUAUGUUACCAGGGAAGAUUUCCUUGAAAGAAUAAUACAAUAAAAAUUAAUUAGCAGUUCUUGAGGGCGAUGUAUGCGUAACCAUGAUACCAAUCAAAUUCAGCAGUUCCUCACGUUUGGGCCUUGUCAGUGGUAAUUCCAAUGUCACCUCUUUGAAGAUUUCACUAUAAGAAGCCUUCUCAAAGCCCUAAAACAGCCAUAAAGAACUUUAAUCAGCCUGGUGGAAACACAAGUAUAACAGCAAGAGUAGAAGUACAUAAUUCCCAAAAAUCCAAAUGUUUGUUCCAAUUCACAGUUUAGCUAGUCUGUUAAUUUUCAUCAGUUAUAUAAACAACCUUUUUCACUAACAUCAGUAAUAGCCAAUUUAGAGAGAGUGUGCCAACUUGUGAAUCAGACAUGAAGUUAAUUUUUGAAAAAAAGUGUAAAAUCCAAGAAUAGUUUCUUAAAAAAUGUUUAGUUGAAAAGAAGUAAUUUGUAGUUUAAUGUGGGGUCAUUCAAUUUUAAUAUGCCACGUUAACAUUGAUGUAAUUUGAAGUAAAUUUAUUAUGUCAUCAAUUGGCGCACUCCCUCCAAACCUAUUCUUGACUGUUUUCAUAAUGGAUACAAAUGAAAUGAUUAAUUAUAAUUGCAAAUUGGAUAAACAUUUUGUUUUUUGGAUAAUUUGCCUGAAAUAAAACUAUAUGUAUG